rnacentral:rRNA from 1 species
CUUGGAGGAUGUAUAGCGAAAGCUAGUUGUAUUAAAUAAAAUUUAUUUAAUGCAGCAUCGACUAUGUCGAAUAAAGUUCUAGGUAGAGUUAUGAUAAUGACAUUUUCUAUCUAUGUGUCUUGACCAAAUCACGUGCCAGCAGUCGCGGUAAUACGUGGAAGACUAGUGUUAUUCAUCUUUAAUAGGUUUAAAGGGUACUUAGACGGUGAAUUAAGCCCAAUAAAGGGUACUUAUUAUACUAGAGUUUUAUGCGAGGGGGGGAGUACUAGUGGAGUAGAGAUGAAAUUCUGUCAUACCAUUAUGAACAGGCAACGGCGAAAGCAACCCUUUAUGUAAAAACUGACGUUGAAGGACGAAGGCUCAGUACACCAACAGGAUUAGAUACCCUAGCAGUCUGAGCAGACAAUGAUGAAUGCCAUAGAUAAGAAAUAGUUUUAUCUAUAAAUGAAAGUGUAAGCAUUCCACCUCAAGAGUAAUGUGGCAACGCAGAAACUGAAAUCAUUAGACCGUUUCUGAAACCAGUAGUGAAGUAUGUUGUUUAAUUUGACAGCCCGCACAAAACCUUACCACAAUUUGUAUAUUUUUAUUUAAAUACAAGAGUUGCACGGCUGUCUUCAGUUAAUGUCGUGAGAUUUUGGUUAGUUCCAUUAAAUUAACGUAAACCCUUACUUUAUUUCUUUUAUAAAGUAGUUCACCACUAGAUUGGAUAUGAUAAAAGGGACUAAGACAAGUCAUCAUGGCCUGAAUAUUGUG